rnacentral:rRNA from 1 species
UGAAGUUGUGACGCUAGUCAUGAUGGAGUCGUCCUUGAAAUACCACCCUUGUAGUUUUGAUGUUCUAACCUAGGUCCCUUAUCGGGAUUAGGGACAGUGCCUGGUGGGUAGUUUGACUGGGGCGGUCUCCUCCCAAAGAGUAACGGAGGAGCACGAAGGUUGGCUAAGUACGGUCGGACAUCGUACGGUUAGUGCAAUGGCAUAAGCCAGCUUAACUGCGAGACAUACACGUCGAGCAGGUACGAAAGUAGGUCAUAGUGAUCCGGUGGUUCUGAAUGGAAGGGCCAUCGCUCAACGGAUAAAAGGUACUCCGGGGAUAACAGGCUGAUACCGCCCAAGAGUUCAUAUCGACGGCGGUGUUUGGCACCUCGAUGUCGGCUCAUCACAUCCUGGGGCUGAAGUCGGUCCCAAGGGUAUGGCUGUUCGCCAUUUAAAGUGGUACGCGAGCUGGGUUCAGAACGUCGUGAGACAGUUCGGUCCCUAUCUGCCGUGGGCGUUGGAUGAUUGAAGGGAGCUGCUCCUAGUACGAGAGGACCGGAGUGGACGAACCGCUGGUGUUCGGGUUGUCAUGCCAAUGGCAUUGCCCGGUAGCUACGUUCGGAAUCGAUAACCGCUGAAAGCAUCUAAGCGGGAAGCGAGCCCUAAGAUGAGUCAUCCCUAGGAAUUUAAUUCCUCUAAAGAGCCGUUCGAGACUAGGACGUUGAUAGGCAUGGUGUGUAAGCGUUGUGAGGCGUUGAGCUAACAUGUACUAAUGACUCGAGAGGCUUAACCAU